rnacentral:rRNA from 2 species
AGAGUUUGAUCCUGGCUCAGGAUGAACGCUGGCGGCGUGCCUAAUACAUGCAAGUCGAACGCUUCACUUCGGUGAAGAGUGGCGAACGGGUGAGUAAUACAUAAGUAACCUGGCAUCUACAGGGGGAUAACUGAUGGAAACGUCAGCUAAGACCGCAUAGGUGUAGAGAUCGCAUGAACUCUAUAUGAAAAGUGCUACGGGACUGGUAGAUGAUGGACUUAUGGCGCAUUAGCUUGUUGGUAGGGUAACGGCCUACCAAGGCGACGAUGCGUAGCCGACCUGAGAGGGUGACCGGCCACACUGGGACUGAGACACGGCCCAGACUCCUACGGGAGGCAGCAGUAGGGAAUUUUCGGCAAUGGGGGAAACCCUGACCGAGCAACGCCGCGUGAAGGAAGAAGUAAUUCGUUAUGUAAACUUCUGUCAUAGAGGAAGAACGGUGGAUAUAGGGAAUGAUAUCCAAGUGACGGUACUCUAUAAGAAAGCCACGGCUAACUACGUGCCAGCAGCCGCGGUAAUACGUAGGUGGCGAGCGUUAUCCGGAAUUAUUGGGCGUAAAGAGGGAGCAGGCGGCACUAAGGGUCUGUGGUGAAAGAUCGAAGCUUAACUUCGGUAAGCCAUGGAAACCGUAGAGCUAGAGUGUGUGAGAGGAUCGUGGAAUUCCAUGUGUAGCGGUGAAAUGCGUAGAUAUAUGGAGGAACACCAGUGGCGAAGGCGACGAUCUGGCGCAUAACUGACGCUCAGUCCCGAAAGCGUGGGGAGCAAAUAGGAUUAGAUACCCUAGUAGUCCACGCCGUAAACG